rnacentral:lncRNA from 1 species
UUAAACUUCAAUUUAAAAGUUAAAUUAUCCCAAGUAUUUACAAAAAAAAAGAAAAAGAAAGAAGAGUAUUCAUAAACCGGUUUUCUAACUGCUCAAAAACUAGAUAAAAAUAAAAAUAAAUAUUGUUUUCACUUUAAACUUUUUAAUAUGAUCAAUUAAAGAGCUGAAGAGUCCUAACUGGAAACCAAUUAUUGUUUUGUCGAACAUGUCCCC